rnacentral:rRNA from 1 species
GUGGGGAAUAUUGGACAAUGGGCGAAAGCCUGAUCCAGCCAUGCCGCGUGUGUGAAGAAGGUCUUCGGAUUGUAAAGCACUUUAAGUUGGGAGGAAGGGCAGUAAGUUAAUACCUUGCUGUUUUGACGUUACCGACAGAAUAAGCACCGGCUAACUUCGUGCCAGCAGCCGCGGUAAUACGAAGGGUGCAAGCGUUAAUCGGAAUUACUGGGCGUAAAGCGCGCGUAGGUGGUUUUGUAAGUUGGAGGUGAAAUCCCCGGGCUCAACCUGGGAACUGCCUGCAAAACUACUGAGCUAGAGUACGGUAGAGGGUAGUGGAAUUUCCUGUGUAGCGGUGAAAUGCGUAGAUAUAGGAAGGAACACCAGUGGCGAAGGCGACUACCUGGACUGAUACUGACACUGAGGUGCGAAAGCGUGGGGAGCAAACAGGAUUAGAUACCCGUGUAGUCC